GGCGCCAUCUUGGCCCCGCGGAGCGUGACUGUCUCGGCUGGAAGCGUGGGAGGCCGGAGGAUCAGUGACUGGCUGUCGUGGACAUGCUCGCUACACCUCCCGGGGCUUCGCUUCGUUUACUAUUAACUGUCGUUACUCCUCUGUAUCUCGUCAGCAGGGGCUGCCUGCGGUGUUAGAAUUACACGCCCCUGCCACCUGGGCACGGAGCCCAGUCUCCCGGCCCCUCAGUCAGUCCUUGGGUGUAGCUGGAGCAUUUAAGAAAAAUGAAAUAUAGGAACUCAGUGCAUGGUUUCCUGGGCCUUUUUAUUGAAUAUCAUUUCUAACAUGUACACAGUAUAACCCAGGCUUAGUGGAUUCCGGGACAGAAAAUGUUGGGAGCUGGGAUAGUCAAGUAAACAAGAAGAAAUGGUAAAGAGAUGCCAAGUGGGAGAGGAAACUACGGAUGCAGAGAGAGGAUCUGGGAUAAAGAGAACAAAGAUGCGUGGUCGACUUUAUGGAAACUCGUUUCUUUUUAAUAAGUGAGGUACAUGGUAGAAGACUUUGACAUGUUGAUUAUGUGACUGGGACCAAGGACAACAACUCGAGAAUUGAUUAAAACUACAGUUAUUCCUUGGUUGCCCCAAGGAUGAUCCUGGUUAGCCAAGUGAAGCAGUGGGAGUGGAGAAGGAACAAAGAAAUCUGUAAAGUAGUUGUGAUCAAUUAGUUGUAAACACCACUGCACUCAGACUCAGACCAGCUUGCAUUGAUUUUUAUGACCUAAUCUCAGAGGUUGUACAGCGUCACUUCCACUGUACUCUACUUGUUGAAGCAGCUACAAAAACACCACAUUUAAGUAAAGGGGACACUAAUUGGGAGGAGUGUUAGUCACAUUAUAAGAAGAGCAUGUGGAAUGAGAGAUUAAGUAGAGAUAUUAUUGCAGUCAUUUAAGGAAAAUAUAAUCUCCCAUAAUAUUAAUAUCUGUUUUCCUUUUGUAAAAAAAAAAUGUACCAUUUCAGGCUGAGCAUGUUGGCUCAUGCCUGUAAUCAUAACAUUUUGGGAGGCUGAGGCCAGUGGAUCACCUGAGGUCAGGAAUUCGAGACCAGCCUGGCCAACAUGGCGAAACCUCGUCUCUGUUAAAAAUACAAAAAUUAGCCGGGUGUGGUGGCAGUCACCUAUAAUCCCAGCUACUCGGAAGGCUGAGGCAGGAGAAUCGCUUGAACCCAGGGGCGGAGGUUGCAGGGAGCUGGUACCACCACUGCACUCCAGCCUGGAUGACAGAGUGAAACUCUGUCUCAAAAAAACAAAACAAAACAAAAACUAAAAUGUACCAUUUCAGAUUUUUUUUCUGAAAUUAAACCUGAAAAGGUCAAAAAACACAUAAAUUACAGUCCCUUUCAAUUACUUACCAGGUACAGGUAUUGUUUAAGUCUAUAGAAGUUCAGACUAUAGUAGUUCAAAAUACCUUAUACAGGGCAGCUUAUAAAAAGCAGAAGUUUAUUUCUCAUAGUUCUGAAGACUGGGAAGUCCGGGUUCAAGGUUCUGGCAGAUUCAGUGCCUGUCGAGGGACUGCUUUUUGGUUCACAGAUAGUGUCUUCUAGCUGUCUCCUCAUGUGGUAGAAGGGUGCCUUUUUUAUUAGUACCCCUAGUUUUAUUUAUUUUAUUUUAUUUUUUAGAGACAGGGGUUUUACUAUGUUGCCCAGGCUAGCCUCAAACUCCUGGGCUUGAGCGAUCCUCCCACCUCAGCCUCCCAAGUAGUUGGGACUACAGGCACAUGUUAAAACACCUGGUUCCUAUUAGUGGUUAUUUUAUAAAGGCACUAAUCUCAUCUGUGGCACCAGAGCCCUCAUGACCUAAUUACCUCCCAAAGAUCCCAUCCCCUAAUACCAUCAUAUUGGUGAUGAGGUUUCAAUACAUGAAUUUGGGGGGCUGGGGACACAAACAUUCAGACCACAGUAGUUGUUACAUUGAUAUGAGCUGGUAAGUGUUAACACCUGGCAGCAAUCAGAUACCCAGCCAUAGGUGAAGGCAGGUGAUUAGAAUUACCAGCCAACACAUUUAUGUGCUAGCUAAUUUUUAUUCAAAACUUUCUGAAGCUACAUUCAAAGCAGUUAAUGGGAAAUGGAGUAAAAAAAUAGGCAACCUCUCACUCUAGAUAAUGCUGUUAAAAGUAAUUUUUCCUCCCAGUCCUCUCCUGUAAUGAAUAGUAUAAGAAGGUAUCCUCCCAACGUAGAGGCACCUUGUGUUUCCAAAGUUUUAAUUAGUUGUCAUGAUAAUUUUAUGUGUCAACUUGACUGGGUUAAGGGAUGCCCAAAUAGGUAGUAAAACAUUAUUUCUGGGUGUAUCUGUGAAGGUGUUUCUGGAUAAAAUUAACAUUUGAAUGGGUAGACUGAGUAGAGCAGACUGUCCUCCCCCAUGUGGGUGGCCCUUAUCCAAAUGGUUGAAGGCUAAAAUAGAACAAAAAAGCUGAGUAGAGGGGAUUCCCUCUGCCUGACUACCUUCGAACUGGGGCGGUGGCUGUUUCCUGCCUUUGGACUUGAACUGAAACAUCAGCUCUUCCUGAGUCUUGAGCCUCCUGGCUUUUGAACUGAAACAACAGUAAUGGCUCUCCUGGUUCUCAGGCAUUUGGACUUUGACUAGAACUACACCAUCAGUUCUCCUGGGUCUCCAGCUUGCCAAUCUCCAGUUUGCCAACUGCGGAUCUUGGGACUUGUCAGCCUCCAUAACUCCAUGAACCAAUUUUUUGUAAUAAAUCUCUUUCUAUAUGUCUAUUUAUUCUGUUGGUUCUGUUUCUCUGGAGAACCCUAAUGCCAUACAUAAUUUUUAAAAAAAAAAAAACUCUUUCCUUCUCUGUUUUUCUCUUAUACUUUUGUGAGUGUAGUGAUAGGCCAAAUCACAUAAGUGCUAAUAAAUACUUUUCCAACAAGUACUUAACCUUGUUUAGGUGAUAAUCACUUGUCUUACCUUUGUGUUCAGAAGAAUUCCCAAUUCCAACUUUCUUAGGUAUUUAUUGAAAAGCAGGAGGAGGGUUCGGUGGAGGGAAGAAGAGAUGGAAUAGGAUUUAGGAUCAUUGCAAAGACCGAGGUAGUUGGGGAACAUAAAGGUUUUAUGUUGCCUUUCUUCUUCCUCCUUAUCAUUGAAGGUCUCCUCCUCCCUCCUGCUCCCCAUCACACACCCUCACAUGCCCCCAUGUGGCCUCUUACUAAACAGGGAGAGAAGAGAAGAGCUGGAGAAAUGGAAGUAUUUUGUAUUGGUAAGCCCAAGCAGCAGCAUGCUGAGAAAAGAGGAGUUUUUAUGGCCCCUGGCUACCCAUCUGGAAUAAACAGUUCUAUUUCCAAAUGGCUAUUUCUAUGCCAAUGUAAAAAGACAUAGAUAAUGCAGAUUAUUGUGUAGACAUUACUAAUAUUCAACAAUAUCUCGUUUUCCUCUUCUUCCAGGCAUACUGAAGACUAUAUUUCUCAGCUGCCUUUGCAGGUGGGCAGGGUCAUGUGACUAUUAUGACUAAUAAAAUGUGAGCAAAAGUGACGAGUCACUUGUGGGCUGAGGCAGUGAAAAGUUGUUUGUGAUUCUCAAAUCUCUCUUCUGUUCUGCCAUUGCAAUUGUGGAAGGAGCUUUAUGUUGAAACGGAAGAGCCAAAAGAUUGAAGUAGUCUAUGUCUCAGUCACCAUAUGGGAGGGCAAAUGCCCUGGAGAACCACCCAGACACACAACAAGUUUGUAUGAAUAAGAAAUAAAACUUUGUUGUAUAAGUAA
rnacentral:lncRNA from 1 species